AGCGUCAGCCGCUUGGCAAGGAACGGGGUGGGCUGAGUCAUAAUAAAAGACGCGUUUGUCGAGCCAAGUGGGAAGAGGAGCCGCGGGCAGCAGUGUUCAAUGGCACAAGCCUCAAAAAUUGGGAAGGAUUUUUUUUUUAAUGGGCAAAACUGGAAACUUGCCCCCAUGGUGCCCAUCAAAAGAUAUGUUUCGUUUAUAAUUUGCAUAUAUUUUAUACAUAGUCUUUGAAUCUAAUGAAACUUUUAAAAGAAUUUUUAAAGCCCAUUGCUUGCAGAGCCAAAUUCCUGGUUAUAGCUUCGUGACUUACGCAAGUUACUUCAAUUCUGUGCUUUUGUUUUUCAUCCAUGAAACAGGAUAAUAAAGGUACCUCCCUCAAGAGAGACUGCGAGAGAGCUUGGCAUCCUGCCUGCACUUAGCACUCGCUAAAUGUUAAUUGUUAUUUUAAAAUAGGAGGGAGGAGAUAAUAAAGAGGAACUUAGAUAACAGUUUUGAAGGGAAGAAGAUACGAAUAUAAAUCAAGAUUUUUCUUUUUUCAAGUGGAGUAAAUUAGACAAAUUACCAAUGGAAGAGAAGAAAGUGGAGCCUGGAAGGAACAAAUGGGGCUAAGAGAAGUAGCUGAAGCGAGGGAAGGAAGAAGGGGGAAGGAGGAAAGAAGAGAGGAAGAGGGGAGAAUAAAAGCCUCCAAGGAACAAACGAGGCUGAAAGAUAUGGCUGAAGGUAGGGAAGGAAGAAAAAGGGAGGAAGAGAGGAAGAAAUAAAACCAAGGAAGCAAGACUAAAACUAGGCUGCGUGGGAAGAGGGGAGGAAGGAAGGAGAGAGAAAUUCAACUAGGCUCAGUGGCCAAAAUGCUGAAGUGUGUCCUGCCGGGAGGGAGUGGAGGAAUAUGUUUACUCACUAUUUAGAAAUGCAUGACAAACUCCAUCCGCUGAGGGAGAUUUUUACAAUGUAUAAACAGAUAAACAACUGUCUAAAAAUGAGCCCCAAAUGAGGAGCCUUUGCUCCAGUGAAUGAGAUUUGGCAGUUCUGCAAAAUGAGGAAAUUUCUUUCUUGUGCGGCAUCUUGAAAGGUUGAGUCAUGAAACACACAGCAAAUAUUAGUGGGCUGGAUUCCUGAAAGGCAUGCCAGAUGGACGCAUUCUGGUUAGUUUUACUGUGUGAUGUUCCCUUCUGUACUUCUGUCAAUUUUAGAAGAAAAGAGUGUGAAUAAAGAUUUGAGAAGUGAACUUAAAAGCCAAACUAGUUACUUAAUGUACGAGUAUCCACCCACCAGGAGCUUACAGUUACAGAUUCCAAAACAAGCAACCGUUUCUCCCACUUUCAUUUUCCCUCCCCUUUGUUUCUACUUUCACCGUAUUGCUUUUUAUCCACUUUUAUAAUAUGAUUUUUUACAGUGGAACCGCCUACAGGAAAGGUGCUUUUAAUUAAUACGAAAGAAUGGAAGGAAUUUCAGCUAGGCCUCUCUAAGAGAGUAAAGCUUUGUGAAAGAAAGGUUUUUUAGCUGAAGUUUUAAUGAGAAUAAGAGUAGUUGGCAGAUGUGAAAUCAGAAGUUUUUUCAGACUAACAAGAAAAUAAUACGACUCGAGUGAAAGGGAAUGGACUAGAAAUCAGAAACAGUUCUAUUCCUUAAUUACCGUAAGAACCAAAGACUGGAGGAAAGUUUUUCCUAUUCUAUAAAGAAAAAUGGGGGCCUCCCUCCACCAGCCAGACCUUCAAAAAAGAGGAAAAAAUAAAAAUUAAAAACCUCUAUUAGAUUCUUGUAAUGAUUUGCUUUUUCUUAGGAGGCCUUCUUCAGGGUAAAAGACGUGAAAGUGCUUCUUUCGGCACCUUCUGACGAAAUACUUUUGUAGAAGCAAAAUUUCUGAAGGGAUAAUUUUUGCUCAAGCAAAAAACUAUUACUAAGAUAAGAAUCCCUUUUCCUUUGUUUCCAUUUUGCUAAGCCUUCAGGCUGAGGCAAACAGGUUAUCAUUAAACCUUUAUUAAUGUGAAGCCAAAAAAAGAUAAAAUCUUAAAUGCUGCGAAGCCCUUAACCUAAAAGGAGCAAGAAAACAAACCAAGGCCCAGAAAACAGAGAAAGAGAUUAGGAAGCCUUUCUAAGGGGAACCUUUGAACUGUGGGCUGUAAAAUGAAUGUCUAUGACUUGCCUUAAACAAAUAGGCAAUAUAAACUAAAGCUGGGAACUAAGAAGAUCUCCUCAGAUCAGAUAAAAAGCUUACCUUGUGUGAAACACUGCGGUCAAAGAAGAAAAUUCCUUUCAUCUUAAGUGGAGACAAAAACGCGUAUCACUUGUUUUGUGUGUCCUCCAUCACCUGAAUCCCUUGGGUGCAAUUUUUUGAUGGACUUGGCAUUCUUUAAACUGAACCUUGACUCAGGUUUUGAUCAUGUGGAUUUAUCCAGAGGUGGAUUGUGAGUACAGCUUGAAUGGAACUGGAGGCCAUUAUUCUAAGUGAAGUAACUCGGGAAUUGAAAACCAGAUAUCCUAUGUUCUCACUUAUAAGUUGGACCUAAGCUAUGGAUAAGCAAAGGCAUACCGAGUGAUAUAAUGGAUACUGGAGACUCAGAGAGGGGAGAGAAGAAGGAGGAUGGUGCAACUGAUCUGCAGAGAAGCUAAUUAACUUGCCCAAAGUUAUGCAGCUAAGGAAUGGCUUUAGAAAGCAAAAGAAAAAUUUUUUAUUAAGAAAUGAAAAGAAAAAAGACGCAGUAUGGACUCAGACUGAUAAACCAUUUGCAUGAGAGAACUAUACACCAUUUGAAAAAGAGCUUUUUUGCAAGGUGUGGUGGCUAACUCCUGUAACCCUGGCAACUCGAAAGGCUGAGGCAGGAGGAUCACUUGGGGCCAGGAGGUGGAGACCAGCCUGGUCAAUACAGCAAGAUCCUGUCUCUAAAAUAAAGAAACAAAUAAAAGAAAAAGAAAAACAGCUUUUGGUAUGCUACUGGACUCACAUAGAAACCAAUCUUCUGAACCUAGAACAUCAAAUGACCACAUAAUAAAAUUAUCUAUCUUGAACUGAGUUAGACCAUUAGUUAACAAGUCAUAACAUUAGGCAACCUCAGCAGUGAUCUGUUGUAAAAUGGAAGUGUUAUAUUUAAAGUUUUGGGCUCAAUUAAGUCCAGAGAGCUUAAGUAAGCUUUAAGAAAGAUGGCUUGGACCUCCAUGUCACCUGAAAAUGUUGCAUUAACAACACUUCCUCAGCCUCAUGGGAGGAAUUCUCCAUUACCAGCUGAUAGAGAAAGACAAUUUGAGUUUGAUCCAUGGAUAGACUGGCUUGAUACAUGGUUACCGGUGGAAAAUGAACUGCUAUUUUACUAUACCACUUACUUGGGAAUGUCCCUGACAGACAGUUGUGAGGAAAAUCCCUUAGGCAGAGUAUCUGUCAGUUCAUUUGGUCAUUCAUUUGUAUAAUAAGAAAAGUCGUCCAAACUAAGGGUAUACGUGAACUCUUAGGCAAUAGUUAAUGGUUUAGCUCUCUGGUGAGAAGUCAGAAAGGAAUAAGAUUGGAAGAUUGGGAUCAAGUAGGACUAGAAAAGAAGCAUGUAUUUAGACCUAUGGGAGUGGGCACGUGGUGUGAGCAUGUUUGUAUUGCAUGCUAACUCUCCCCACCCCCUUUUAUGCCAUUUCUCAUUAUAUCUACCAAAUCAUUUGUACUGCAGAAUCUUUUAUAUUUUUCACUGGACUGAUUAUAUGAAUGUAGUAUUAAUUAACAAGUUUCUCCACACCCAUGUUUUUGCAAUAAUUUGGCAGUAGAUCCAGAUUUGAUUAGGUUCAUCUUUGCUUUUUUUCUUUUUUUGGCAAUAACAGACCAUAGAGAGGUGAUAUAAUCUGAACUUCCUAUUGCAUCAGGAAGAACAUAAUGUAUUCUCUUAUUUUUAUUUAGGUUAAGAUGGAUCAAGUGUUGUCAUCUAUCCAUUAAAAAUUUUUCCCAUCAAUCUUUCAUCUAAUAGUUUUAGCAUUUAUUAUUUAAUUCAAGGUGCAAAGUGGUGAUGUUUCAAUUCUAAUAUUACUCCUGAAUUUACUAGUUGUUAUUCUUUUCUAAAGAGGAAAUUUCAUACAUUUUUUGAGUAUUCUGAAAUACAGUCUUAAUAGGAAAGACAGAAUAAAUGUUAUCUUUUCUUCUUUUAUUAUUAUAAUAAUGAGUUCUUGUCUUAUUAAUCAUCAAAGCCAAUAUAUGAAUUUCCUUUUGAAUAUCAUUAUGAAGUUAAGAAGUUUCUUUAUGAAUAUUAUUAUGAUGUUAACAUAUAUCUAUAUCUGUAUAUCUAUAUCAAGAUAUAUAUUUUGAUCUAUUGCUGUCAUCUUUUAUUACAGUAUUUGUUUCACGUUUGGCAAAUGAUGUUAGGAAAUAAAUUUUUUUUAG